UGCUACUAUAUUUCGUUAUGCAAAAGGCAUCUUGUGCUAGUUCGGGGCAUGACCCCGUCGACCCAUACGUAAACUUAUACUCUCCAAAUUCUAUUAUGCAUGAUCUCCUAUUCAGUUUGUUAAUGAACAACUUUGACAUGGCUCACAGUGAAUAUUCCUGGGAUUCGUUUAUCCCAUGAAACACACACUGGUUUGAUGGGCAAUGUGGAAAAGUAGUCCAUGAUGCAAACGUCAUGUGUCGUAUAGCAAUCUAUGGGUUUUGUUGUUAAGUUAUCCAGCUAGGUAUUAUGGACCGUCAAAACCAUUUCUUAACUGGCUGUCGUAUAUAGUACUUCAUGCUAUCAUUUGACAUCGAAAGACGAA
rnacentral:sRNA from 1 species